rnacentral:rRNA from 1 species
CUACGGGUGGCAGCAGUGAGGAAUAUUGGUCAAUGGGCGAAAGCCUGAACCAGCCAUGCCGCGUGAAGGAUGACGGCCCUAUGGGUUGUAAACUUCUUUUAUACGGGAAGAAACACCUCUACGUGUAGAGGUUUGACGGUACCGUACGAAUAAGCAUCGGCUAACUCCGUGCCAGCAGCCGCGGUAAUACGGAGGAUGCAAGCGUUAUCCGGAUUUAUUGGGUUUAAAGGGUACGUAGGCGGAAACUUAAGUCAGUAGUGAAAUCCCGCAGCUUAACUGGGGAACUGUUAUUGAUACUGGGUUUCUUGAAUAUUGUUGAGGUAGGCGGAAUAAGUAAUGUAGCGGUGAAAUGCUUAGAUAUUACUUAGAACACCGAUUGCGAAGGCAGCUUACUAAGCAAUUAUUGACGCUGAGGUACGAAAGCGUGGGGAGCGAACAGGAUUAGAUACCCCCGUAGUC